rnacentral:rRNA from 1 species
UGGGGAAUAUUGGACAAUGGGCGCAAGCCUGAUCCAGCAAUGCCGCGUGUGUGAAGAAGGUCUUCGGAUUGUAAAGCACUUUCGGCGGGGACGAUGAUGACGGUACCCGCAGAAGAAGCCCCGGCUAACUUCGUGCCAGCAGCCGCGGUAAUACGAAGGGGGCUAGCGUUGCUCGGAAUGACUGGGCGUAAAGGGCGCGUAGGCGGAUUGUACAGUCAGGUGUGAAAUUCCCGGGCUUAACCUGGGGGCUGCACUUGAUACGUAUGGUCUUGAGUAGGGAAGAGGGUCGUGGAAUUCCCAGUGUAGAGGUGAAAUUCGUAGAUAUUGGGAAGAACACCGGUGGCGAAGGCGGCGACCUGGUCCUUGACUGACGCUGAGGCGCGAAAGCGUGGGGAGCAAACAGGAUUAGAUACC